rnacentral:rRNA from 1 species
UUGGAGGGCAAGUCUGGUGCCAGCAGCCGCGGUAAUUCCAGCUCCAAUAGCGUAUAUUAAAGUUGUUGCAGAUAAAAAGCUCGUAGUUGAAUUUCGGGGUUAGUAGGUUGGUCAUGCCACUGGUAUGUACUGGUCUCACUGAUUCCUCCUUCCUGAUGAGACGUAAUGCCAUUAAUUUGGUGUUGCGAGGAAUCUGGACUGUUACUUUGAAAAAAUUAGAGUGUUUAAAGCAGGCUAACGCUUGAAUACAUUAGCAUGGAAUAAUGAAAUAGGACGUUCGAUCUUAUUUUGUUGGUUUCUAGGAUUGACGUAAUGAUUAAUAGGGAUAGUUGGGGGCAUUAGUAUUCAAUUGUCGGAGGCGAAAUUCUUGGAUUUAUUGAAGACUAACUACUGCGAAAGCAUUUGCCAAGGAUGUUUUCAUUAAUCAAGAACGAAAGUUAGGGGAUCGAAGACGAUCAGAUACCGUCGUAGUCUUAACCAUAAACUAUGCCGACUAGGGAUCGGAUGAUGUUAAUUUUUUAAUGACUCAUUCGGCGCCUUACGGGAAACCAAAGUGUUUGGGUUC